UACGUAGGGGGCAAGCGUUGUUCGGAAUUACUGGGCGUAAAGGGCUCGUAGGCGGCCAACUAAGUCGGACGUGAAAUCCCUCGGCUUAACCGGGGAACUGCGUCCGAUACUGGAUGGCUUGAGUUUGGGAGAGGGAUGCGGAAUUCCAGGUGUAGCGGUGAAAUGCGUAGAUAUCUGGAGGAACACCGGUGGCGAAGGCGGCAUCCUGGACCAACACUGACGCUGAUGAGCGAAAGCCAGGGGAGCAAACGGG
rnacentral:rRNA from 1 species